AACUUAAAUACAAAAUAUAACAUUUUAACAACUUUAUUCUCACAAAACAAAAAAUCAAAAUGAAGACUACAAAAUUUCACUAACCACCCCAGUUAAAAAAUAACCAACACCUUCCAACUUAUAGAAUUAAUUAUUUCAAAAGAUUUUAGGGUCUUCUCGUCUUCUAAAAAAAUUUUAACUUUUUCAUCAAAAAAUAAAAUUCAAAACCUAAUAAAACCGAGACAACCUCAAUCCUCAUUUAUUCAUUCAUACAAUUUUACAAUCAAUAAACUAAUUAUUAUCUAACCUUUGCAA
rnacentral:rRNA from 1 species